GCCGCGCAGGCUCCGGGCUGGGACAGUGGGAACAGCCCUCUCGAGAAGGGUUCGACCCUACGCCUCCAGGAGGGCCCGGGACGUCCCAGUCCCGGACCAGCUGAGAGGCCAUUGGAGUGUCCGUGCCAGCUGCGCAACCCCUAGGGGCUCCCCCGGUGCCGACCCGACCCGGGGUGGUUCGCCCUGUCCCCGCCGAUUUCGGGUGUCCAGUUCUCUGCGGAGCCCGUGGUUCUAUGACCAGUGGUGGCCCGACUACGGCUGCGGCGACACCGUGUGGUCCCCAGGGCGGACUCCGAGGAGAAGGGCUCCCGGCCGCACUGCGGCUCUACACCAAGAGAGGGGAUGAGCCCGCGACAGAAACGCAAAAAGGAGACCGGGGUUGGAGGCGGAGACCCGGCACGCGCAGGAACCUGGGGUGACUGCCAGCCCGCCGCUUCUUCCACGCGCUUCUACAAGCGCUGGUGCCACUUCGGACGUGAACUUCCAGGGAGGUGUUCAGGCGUGGGAAGCCCCACAACAACCACUGUGGCAGGGGCGAGUCCUGGAUGAGAGGGAUUCCUGAGAUCUGCGUGACCUGAGCCACCCGCUGACUUGCGACGCCAGGCAGGGAGAAGUUGAGUAGUCAGAGAAAACUUAUCCUGGACAAACCGGCUGCUGGCACCUCAGCUGCUGGGGCGGGAAGCGCCCUCUGCGGGAAUGAAGUCAUCCUACUCUUUUCUGGGUGUGCCCAGAUAACUGAACAGUUUUCCCAAGCUCUAAAGCCCAAGGACUUCCAGUUGCUCCACCAGGUCUCCAGCUCCUGGACACCACGACACAAAUCCUCACCUCCUAACGCAAGCCUUGCACAGGGAAAGAGAGAGUACUAGUUCCAAUCAGCCCACUAUCCAGACCCCAAACUGCCUGCCUAUUUCUUGAUGUUCACGAUUCAACACGCCCACUCACAAACACUGAAAAUAUCAAGGCCAGUCUCCGGCUGGGAACUCUUGUCAGUCCAAAUGAAUAUUGAUUGCUACCUAGGUAAAAGAGUAAGGAGUGUUGUAUGAGCUUCUAGAUGGUGCCCUUUCCCCUUUUGAUUUUGAAAUUUAUCAUCAUUAUUAUUAUUCGUCAGCAUGUAGCUCUGGCUGUCCUUGAACUAGCUCUGUAGACCAGGCUGUCUGCCAACUCACAGAGACCAGCCCUCUUUUCCCUUUAUGCAGUCAGAGGCCAGGCUGCUCCCUUCCUUCCCUUUAUUGCUGCAAGCCCUGCACACCUGUGUAGCCUCACACUGUAGGGGGAGCAUGUGCUCUAAGACAGCUCCCUUUCU
rnacentral:lncRNA from 1 species